rnacentral:lncRNA from 1 species
AACACCAGCGCACAACCCCCACUGGCAGGGUCCACUGAGUACCAACGUAUAAUCCCCAUUGGUAGGGCCCACUGAAACAUAGUUAGGCUGAGAGCAUAAAUCCGAUCUGUAUCAAAACACUCUGUACCAUAAUAUAUCAAAAUUUUUCAUUGAACAUGUGCAUAAAUCAACAUACCAUAAUAUUUCAAAGACACUAUUCUUUCAAAAUAUAAUUUCAUAAAUCAUACAUAAUUUCAGAGAAUAAUUAUUUAUUUUCAGAAUAAAUAUG